rnacentral:rRNA from 1 species
UGAGUAACGCGUGAGCAACCUGCCUUUCAGAGGGGGACAACAGUUGGAAACGACUGCUAAUACCGCAUAACACAUAUUAGGGGGCAUCCCUUUUAUGUCCAAAGAUUUAUCGCUGAAAGAUGGCUUCGCGUCUGAUUAGCUAGAUGGCGGGGUAACGGCCCACCCAUGGCGACGAUCAGUAGCCGGUCUGAGAGGAUGAACGGCCACAUUGGGACUGAGAUACGGCCCAGACUCCUACGGGAGGCAGCAGUGGGGAAUAUUGGGCAAUGGGGGAAACCCUGACCCCAGCAACGCCGCGUGAAGGGAAGAAGGCCUUCGGGUUGUAAACUUCUUUUACCAGGGACGAACACAAUGACGGUACCUGGAGAAAAAGCAACGGCUAACUACGUG